rnacentral:lncRNA from 10 species
UCUGGAAGCCAUCUUGUGGUCUUGAGAUGUGGUACUCUCUGGACAAAGACAAUGUAUACAAAAAGAAUGUAAAUAAAAACACAGUCCUUGUUUUCAAGGACCUAUUUAUCCAAACAUAUGAUCAUAUGAUCAUUCAUUUUAUAUAUAUAUAUGUAUGUGUAUAUACACAAUAAUUGGCUUUAGGCCUCUUCUAAAUACAUAGAAAACUGAAGAGUGUUAUUCCCACCAUAGCAAUGAGAGAAAACUAGGUAAUAUAUAAAAUUAUUUUUUCUUGAAUCCAAAGAGUUGAAGUCACAGAAAAAGCCAGCAUGAAAUUUAAAGAAAGAUAGGGCACAAGUACUAACACCCAUGUUAGUAGGCAGGAGUAGACAAGGCAAGCCUAAAAACAGAUAAAAACAAGUCCGCUACAAUUUUAACACAUUGCUAACAUCUGAGUGGAGUCUCACAUGCAAGUAUGGAACACUGAGAGCAGCAUACAUGGCAAGCUCAACUUUACAACCUUCCUGAGUGGGCAUGAGAAAUACUGAGGGUGGCCAGGAGAGCAUUUUUUAGUAGAUAAGCCUUGGAGAAGGGAAGCUACCACAGGAAAAAACAAAAUAAAACAAAAAACAAAACAAAAAAACCCACAGAGAUAUACCCAAUCCAACAUUUCAUAAAUAACAGAAGUAAGUCACUAAGAGAUGGGUUAGGACCAUUAUAAAUCUAUCACAGGAGGAAAAUUAGAGUAACUGAGAAAAUCCCAUACCUGAGUACCAGGGAUGAAGGCCCUACAUAAAAAUGAGGCUGAAUCGGAAAAAGAGAUAAGUUACUUACCUUCCACUACUAUGCCAGUGAGGGUAAGUAACAAGAAAUAAGUAAUCAGUGGGGUAAGAUAAUGCACAUGGAGAGACACUCUCCAUGAGAUGCAAAAGCACAGUGAAGGGAUAAAGCUGCGAGUGGAGCUGGACCAUAAAGGGAAGCUCCCUGAUAAUUCAACCAAAACCCUAAAUACAAAGUACUACUGGGGGAAUUUAGAGCUGAUGAUUCACUAUAAGUAUCUAUGGCAAAACAAUACCCAAAUAAUGCAUACUUCCUGGCAAUAACUCACCUCCCAGAUUAAAGUCAUAGUAGAGAAAAAGGUAUGCCCAUUUCAUCACAAAUACUUCUUUCCUUUGUCUCUGUUGUUCUAUGUACUAUGUCUGACAUACAGUGAAAAAUUAUGUGGUACACAAGACAGAAGAAAAGCCAAACAUACAAGAAACAAAGCAUUCAACAGAAGAUUCAGAGAUGACCCAGAUAUUGAAACUAAAUGGAAAUGCCAAUUCUCAAGCUCAUAUGUAAUUUCAACUGGAUUUUCAAAUGCAAAAUAAGUUGAAUCUCUACCUUAUGCCAUAUAUAAAAAUUAACCCCAAAUGGACUGAAAACAUAAAUAUAAGCAUGAAUAUUAACACUUUUGGAAGAAAUCAUGGGGUAAAUCUUCAUAACCCUGGAUUUGGCAACGAAUUCUUAGUUAUGAUAUCAAUAACAUAAAUAUGGAUAAAUUGGAUUUCAUCAAAAUUAAAAGCUUGUAUGUACCAAAAAUGUUAUCAAAGAAGUAAAAUGACAAUCUAGAAUGGAGGAGAAAAUAUUUGUGAAUCAUAUCUCUGAUAAAAGUCUAAUAUUCAUACUAUAUAAAGAACACAGUUCAACAAAAGACAAACCACCUAAUUAAAAAGAGGGUAAAAGACUUGAAUAGAAAUUUCACCGCAGAAACUAUACAAAUGACUAUCAAACACUUAAAAAGAUGCUCAUAUCAGUAGUCAUUAGGGAAAUGCAUAGCAAAACCACAGUGAGGGAUGACUUCAUACACAUUAGGUUGUAAACACACAGACACACACACAUGCACACAGUGUUGGCAAGGAUGUGAAAAAAUUAAAGCCGUUGUAUAAUGCUGGUGGGAAUGUAAAAUUAUUCAGUUGCUAUGAAAAACAAUUCAAUGGUUUCUCAAAAAGUUAAAAACAGAAAUCCCACAUGACCCUUCAAUUCCACUCCUAGAUAUGUACCCAAAAGAAUUAAAAACAGAUACUCAGAAAGGUACAUGGUCACACAUUUUAUAGCAGCACUAUUCAAAAUGGCCAACAGGUGAAAACAACCCAAAUUUUUCUCAACUAAUGAAUGGAUAAACAAAUUGUGGUAUAUACAUACAAUGGGAUAUUAUUCAGUCAUAAAAUUGAAUAAAUUACUGAUAUAUGGAAUAACAUGGAUGAACCUCCAAGACAUUGUGCCAAGUGAAAGAAGCCAGAUGCAAAAGGUCACAUAUUGUAUGACCCUAUUUAUAGGAAAUAUCCAGAAUAGGUAAAUUCAAAGAGACAGAAUACGGAUUGGUGAUUUCCAGUAGCUUGAGAGAGGGAGGAAUAGGGAGAAGAUGCUUAAAUGGGUAAGAGUCUUUACUUUGGAGUGAUGGAAAUAUUCUGGAAUGAGAUAGAGAUGGUGAUUGUAUAUCAUUGUGAAUAUAUUAAAUGACAAAAAUAUUCACUUUGAAAUGGAUUGUUUUAUGUGUUGUGAAUUUCACCUCAGUAAAAUCAUUUAAAGAUAACAGCUGCUAAUUGCAGAUGCUCAACUUCUCAGGAUGCUUAUCAUCUAGCAAAACCGAUUUGCAUGCAUGGAGAUGUUUAAAUUAUGCAAUAUUCAUGUAGGUUAAGAAAUGAUUUUUGAAGCAGUGGUUGAGCACUACCUUCUUGUGUUAUCCUGUGGAUAGUCCACAAGUGACUGAUCAUCAAUCAACUCUUUCUUACUGGUGACAAUAUAAUCAAGAUAAACUGUUCUUAGAUUAUUUCUCUAUUUGUAUAAAUAUUACCAAUGUUGUAACAUACUGUGAGGACCUUAAAUAUUAUGCCAGGUUGAUGACUGGCCUUCAGCUCAACCAGUAUUUGAUUCAUUAAAAUAUCUAACCAACAUGUAAUUCUGACACAAAGCCGUGCUGGUAUAUCGACUGAACAAAAUAUCCACUUUAUCUAUCUGAUUUAGAAGUGUCAACUUCAAUUCCUAUCAUAUCACCAUUUCCUAUUGAUUCUUCCCUAUUAACUUUAAUACUCUGUUGGAUUUCCUUUAAUUGUUCAGCUUAGAUGUCUGUGUAUUUUCACCACUUACAAAGUUGGUGACACUAUGCCUCCCUUUACCAUGUUUAUUUCUUUGAAAUAAUCGAUGCAGAAUAAGCCUUAUUUUUUCAUAAGGGUUAUUCCAUUAAACUCUGAUUAUGAUUUAGUAAUAAUUGAGGUCUGAAGUUAAUAUUUAAGGCUUCUGUUGAUAUACAUAUAAAAAAUCAAACUUGAAACCUUCUACAGGAAGACAUGGAUAGAAAAGACACUUUGUACCAAGGCAAAGGGGAGAAAUGGAGCUUUGAGAAUACUUUUUGGUAUUUGAAAUGCCCGGGAAAUAAUUAGUUUCAUUUCUGUGAUUCCAAAUAUAUGUGUUGAGCAGCUUAUAGAUUUCAGAUGUAUUUUGUUAUACUUACUGAUACUCAUAAUGGCCUCCUCUCCCACUCACAACUCUGCUUCUUUCCUGACCUAUUGCUUUUGGUGUUUCAUUCUCUCUCAUUUUCUUCUGGAGAUUGUUAAGUGUGAUCUUAUUGCCGCUUCGCAUAGAGUGUAUUGACAGAAGUGGUAAGAUUUUCUUGAUUGUGUAGUUAUGCACAUGUUUAACCUGUAUGUAUCAACCAAGUACUUAUUCUACAGAAUGUGUAUUGUUUGAUAUAUGAAGAAAAUGAUAAGCUUAUGUUUGCACAGGCUGUCUAUUCCCUUUGCAUUCAUGCUCUAUAUUAAACCAUUAUUGACACUUUUAAAUGUUGUGGUAUUUUCUCUUUCCUUAAUAUGAUUUCAAUAGAUAUUGUGUUCAAGAAAAAGUUUUGUUAAUAUUCAAAGUGUUCUGAGUCUGUUAUAUUUCUUUGUCCUGAACAGUUUUGACUUAUCUAAUACAGUGAAAAUUAUGGUCCAAUUUGUUGCCUACUG